AUCAUCGGGUACCAUUGCUAGAUGGUCACUUCGAUUAGUACAGGAAUUGGUUCCUGUGCUACCGGCUUAGGUUCGAACCUACGGGGUCACACACAUUAGAGGUUCCUAUCUGAUCUGAUGGCUGAUGAAGAGUCUUAAUAUUCAUGGACUAUGAGUCCUACAUGUCUGAGACUCUAUGAUCGAGAAUCAAGAUUCUCUGAUCAUGAGUCCCACACAUUUUGGAUACCGGGGUCAAGAGUCCCACUGGUUUGGGACUCUUCGAUCA
rnacentral:lncRNA from 1 species